UACGGAGGGUGCAAGCGUUAAUCGGAAUUACUGGGCGUAAAGCGUGCGUAGGCGGUUCGUUAAGUCUGUUGUGAAAGCCCCGGGCUCAACCUGGGAAUGGCAAUGGAUACUGGCGAGCUAGAGUGUGUCAGAGGAUGGUGGAAUUCCCGGUGUAGCGGUGAAAUGCGUAGAGAUCGGGAGGAACAUCAGUGGCGAAGGCGGCCAUCUGGGACAACACUGACGCUGAGACACGAAAGCGUGGGUAGCAAACAGG
rnacentral:rRNA from 1 species